GGCUCCAUAGCUCAACAGGAUAGAGCAACGGUUUUCUAAACCGUAGGUUCCAGGUUCGAACCCUGGUGGAGUCA
rnacentral:tRNA from 1 species